rnacentral:rRNA from 1 species
GACGAACGCUGGCGGCGUGCUUAACACAUGCAAGUCGAGCGAAGCCUUCGGGCUUAGCGGCGGACGGGUGAGUAACGCGUGGGAACGUGCCCUUUGGUACGGAAUAGCCCCGGGAAACUGGGAGUAAUACCGUAUGUGCCCUUCGGGGGAAAGAUUUAUCGCCAAAGGAUCGGCCCGCGUUGGAUUAGGUAGUUGGUGGGGUAAUGGCCUACCAAGCCGACGAUCCAUAGCUGGUUUGAGAGGAUGAUCAGCCACACUGGGACUGAGACACGGCCCAGACUCCUACGGGAGGCAGCAGUGGGGAAUCUUAGACAAUGGGGGAAACCCUGAUCUAGCCACGCCGCGUGAUCGAUGAAGGCCUUAGGGUUGUAAAGAUCUUUCAGUGGGGAAGAUAAUGACUGUACCCACAGAAGAAGCUCCGGCUAACUCCGUGCCAGCAGCCGCCGUAAUAC